AUCCCUAAUACUUCACCGGAUUCAGUGUUCAACCUUCAGUGGAAAAGAGCAACGCAUCCGGAGCCCAGUGGUAGUCCCGGCCCUGGUGCUAACCAGCUGUGCGAGGGGGAGCAGCUCCCCACACUCUGCUGUCCCCUCCCCAUGGCCAUAAUACAAGCGUUUUCCAGCUAACUCGUGGAGCAGCCACUGUAAGAACCAACGGAAAACAUGAAAGCGUUCUAGAAAUCUACAAUGCAAGGUAUUUAUCACAGCUGGCCUGGUUUAUGUGAAUUGCCUGAGAAGACCUAGAAGGGAGGGGAGAGACGGCUUUUAUUCAGCUAGCUGCCCUCAUCGUCCUCCUGAGCAGACACAGGCUAAUUCUUCUCCGUCCACGCAAGCCGAUCGGCACUUACGUACCGCCUGGCUCUCGCUCCAGCUCCUAAGUACCUCCAGGGAAGAAGAUUCUAUCCCACCCAGGAAAGAGCCGCCUGGAAGGCAGACAAAAGAAAACAAUGUUUCACAGCAAGGACUGGAGCCCUGAAAAGUCUCUUGCCACCAGCCCAGCAAGGGUAGGGGUCCACAGUGCUCUGUUUUCCAGAAUCUUCCUUUGUAAGACUUGAGAAUGCUCUAAUGGCACUCAGCACAAAAGAUUCAGGGAACAAAAGGGCUGCUGUCCAUAAGGGGGGCCAUUUUGAAUCUGAGGAGAAAAUGGGAAGGGGCAGGCAUGGAAACUGCCACCGUCAGAGUCCACGUUGGCUUAUAUACCAAGGCAGAAACAGGACUUCUGAAGGUCACCGCUGGCCUCUAAUCACUGCCGUAGUAAGGCUUUCCUUGUGGCUGUUGUAUGUGAGGCACAUUGCAACGUGGACUGGCCACGUUUCACCUGCCCAGUAGCCACAGGUGGCUCAUGGUCAGCUUACUGGACUUUGCAACUCUGGAUCCUUGCUACUCCAAGGGUGGCCUGCUACCCAGCCACCCCUGUACCGUCUGGUGGUUCACUAGAAAUGCGGAAUCUCAAGCCCUGAAUCAGAGUCUGCAUUUCAGCCAGACCCCCAGGUCGUCUACGUACAUAUUAAAGUUUGAGCAGCACUAUUGGCUGAAGGCAACCUGGGAGCUUGCAGAAAGCAGAAAGGAAUGCUCUCCUCUUACCUUUCCUUCUUUGUGCCUCUUCCUCCCUCUGGCUUUCCAGAAGGUGCCAGCCCUGGCUCCAUUUGAGACUCCUCUAGAGAGCCUGAAAACUAUGAUACCUGGACUCAGCUCCAGAGAUCUUGAUUUAAUCAGUCCUGGGAGGAGCCCGGGCAACAGGUGUUGUUCAAGAAGUUCCACAGGUGACAGUAACGUACAUCUGGGCAGAGAGUCACAGGCUAGCCCAACACCCAACGCUGUAGCCUCAUUCGGUCCUGCCGUGCGACGGGGUGAAUACACCUGAACUCACAUCCUAGAGGGCUUUGGAGUAAGACAGGUCGAGCAAAGCAGCUCACGUAAGCAGUCACAGCUCUGUAAAAUUGCACAAAUACUCCUAAUUGUCCCACAGACUCCUAGUAAUUGAUGCCAUACGUGAAAAUAGUAUCCUUCGGA